rnacentral:rRNA from 1 species
AACGAACGCUGGCGGCAGGCCUAACACAUGCAAGUCGAGCGAGGACUUCGGUCCUAGCGGCGGACGGGUGAGUAACGCGUGGGAACGUGCCCUUUGGUACGGAAUAGCCCCGGGAAACUGGGAGUAAUACCGUAUGGUGUCUUCGGACUAAAGAUUUAUCGCCAAAGGAUCGGCCCGCGUUGGAUUAGGUAGUUGGUGGGGUAAUGGCCUACCAAGCCGACGAUCCAUAGCUGGUUUGAGAGGAUGAUCAGCCACACUGGGACUGAGACACGGCCCAGACUCCUACGGGAGGCAGCAGUGGGGAAUCUUAGACAAGUGGGGGCAACCCUGAUCUAGCCAUGCCGCGUGAGUGAUGAAGGCCCUAGGGUUGUAAAGCUCUUUCAGCUGGGAAGAUAAUGACGGUACCAGCAGAAGAACGCCCCGGCUAACUCCGUG